GGGGGUAUGGCGAAAUUGGUAGACGCAACGGACUUAAAAUCCGUAGACGUUAAAAGUCGUGAGGAUUCAAGUCCCUCUAUCCCCA
rnacentral:tRNA from 1 species